AUGGCUCAGGACGAACGCUGGCGGCGUGCCUAACACAUGCAAGUCGAGCGAGGAGAUCCUUCGGGAUGAUCCUAGCGGCGGACGGGUGAGUAACACGUGGGCAACCUGCCUCAUAGAGAGGAAUAGCCUUCCGAAAGGGAGAUUAAUACCUCAUAACAUUGCAGUUUCGCAUGGAACAGCAAUUAAAGGAGUAAUCCGCUAUGAGAUGGGCCCGCGGCGCAUUAGCUAGUUGGUGAGGUAACGGCUCACCAAGGCGACGAUGCGUAGCCGACCUGAGAGGGUGAUCGGCCACAUUGGGACUGAGACACGGCCCAGACUCCUACGGGAGGCAGCAGUGGGGAAUAUUGCACAAUGGGGGAAACCCUGAUGCAGCCAACGCCGCGUGAGUGAUGACGGCCUUCGGGUUGUAAAGCUCUGUCUUCAGGGACGAUAAUGACGGUACCUGAGGAGGAAGCCACGGCUAACUACGUGCCAGCAGCAGC
rnacentral:rRNA from 1 species